ACCUACUAUGCAGACGGCGGACCGGCAGGUCCGCUGUCGCCAGCGACGGCGUCUUGGGGAGGAAGCCCGGUGUGAAUCCGGCGCGGUCCCGCCACUGUGAACCCGGCAGCAGCCGGGUGAGUCAGGAACUCCCGCCGUCCUCCACCACCG
rfam:Streptomyces sp. 150FB scaffold00001, whole genome shotgun sequence.